GACAGAGGGGGCAAGCGUUGCUCGGAAUUACUGGGCGUAAAGGGCGCGUAGGCGGGAUGGCAAGUCGGUCGUGAAAUCCCUCGGCUCAACUGAGGAUCGUCGAUCGAUACUGCAUGGCUUGAGUACCGGAGAGGAUGGCGGAAUUCCCCAAGUAGAGGUGAAAUUCGUAGAUAUGGGGAGGAACACCGGUGGCGAAGGCGGCCAUCUGGACGGAUACUGACGCUGAGACGCGAAAGCGUGGGGAGCAAACAGGG
rnacentral:rRNA from 1 species